rnacentral:rRNA from 1 species
UCAGUCGACUCCUACGGGGAGGCAGCAGUGGGGGAAUAUUGCACAAUGGGCGCAAGCCUGAUGCAGCCAUGCCGCGUGUGUGAAGAAGGACCCUACGGGUUCGUUAAAGCACUUUCAGUCGUGAGGAAGGUAGUGUAGUUAAUAGCUGCAUUAUUUGACGUUAGCGACAGAAGAAGCACCGGCUAACUCCGUGCCAGCAGCCGCGGUAAUACGGAGGGUGCGAGCGUUAAUCGGAAUUACUGGGCGUAAAGCGCAUGCAGGUGGUUUGUUUAAGUCAGAUGUGAAAGACCCGGGGCUCAACCUCGGAAUUGCAUUUGAAACUGGCAGACUAGAGUACUGUAGAGGGGGGUAGGAAUUUCAGGUGUAGCGGUGAAAUGCGUAGAGAUCUGAAGGAAUACCGGUGGCGAAGGCGGCCCCCUGGACAGAUACUGACACUCAGAUGCGAAAGCGUGGGGAGCAAACAGGAUUAGAUACCCCUGGUAG